AUUAGAGAGGGGCUUAUGCGAGUAUCCUUUGCUAUUACCCUGUGGUCAUUGUCGAGGGUUUGAACACUAUCGCCUAGGCACGAUCCUGACCCUGAGCAUUCACAGGGACCUAAACCAGACCUAAACCAGACGUGUGUUUGACUCUUGCACUCCAAUGGAGGUUGAAGGCAAUUCCAAUACUGGGAGGACAGGCGCCAGUAUUGGAGAUGCGCUCGAAUCUGGUAAAACCUUCUUGGUUCAGAGCAACCCGGAGGAGCAGCUCCCGGAUCUGGGAGAGGAGGCCAAGAUGUGGCAGAAAGAGAAGUAUGACUUUGUUCCAGGUGAGGACAAGGACCAAGAAGACGUGAAUCCCACAACAGCAGGGGACCUCGCGCACACUGAAGAUGACAACAUAAUCAAUGCAAAACCUGGUACGGAUCAGGGUGGGGCACAAUGGUGAGUCAGAGGCAAAACCUGGU
ensembl:lncRNA